rnacentral:rRNA from 1 species
UACCUGCAGCUCAAGUGGUGACCGCUAUUAUUGGGCCUAAAACGUUCGUAGCCGGCUGAGUAAAUGCUUGGGUAAAUCGUAUCGCUUAACGGUACGAAUUCCGGGUAGACUGCUCAGCUUGAGACCGGGAGAAGCUAGAGGUACUCCUGGGGUAGAGGUGAAAUUCUGUAAUCCUGGGGGGACCACCAGUGGCGAAGGCGUCUAGCUAGAACGGGUCUGACGGUGAGGGACGAAACCCUGGGGCGCAAACCGGAUUAGAUACCCGGGUAGUCCAGGGCGCAAACGCUGCUUGCUUGAUGUUAGCUGGGCUCCGAGCUCAGCUAGUGUCGGAGAGAAGUUGUUAAGCAAGCUGCCUGGGGAGUACGAUCGCAAGAUUGAAACUUAAAGGAAUUGGCGGGGGAGCACAGCAACGGGUGGAGCGUGCGGUUU